rnacentral:rRNA from 1 species
UUGAACGCUGGCGGCAUGCUUUACACAUGCAAGUCGAACGGUAACAGGCCUUCGGGUGCUGCCGAGUGGCGAACGGGUGAGUAAUGCAUCGGAACGUGCCCAGAGGUGGGGGAUAACGCAGCGAAAGCUGUGCUAAUACCGCAUGUGAUCUGAGGAUGAAAGCGGGGGACCAAGCAGCAAUGUUUGGCCUCGCGCCUCUGGAGCGGCCGAUGUCAGAUUAGGUAGUUGGUGGGGUAAAGGCCUACCAAGCCGACGAUCUGUAGCUGGUCUGAGAGGACGACCAGCCACACUGGGACUGAGACACGGCCCAGACUCCUACGGGAGGCAGCAGUGGGGAAUUUUGGACAAUGGGCGCAAGCCUGAUCCAGCAAUGCCGCGUGCGGGAAGAAGGCCUUCGGGUUGUAAACCGCUUUUGUACGGAACGAAAAGGCUCUGGCUAAUACCUGGGGCUGAUGACGGUACCGUAAGAAUAAGCACCGGCUAACUACGUG